CCUACGGGGAGCAGCAGUGGGGAAUAUUGCACAAUGGGGGAAACCCUGAUGCAGCAACGCCGCGUGAGUGAAGAAGUAUUUCGGUAUGUAAAGCUCUAUCAGCAGGGAAGAAGAUGACGGUACCUGAAUAAGAAGCCCCGGCUAACUACGUGCCAGCAGCCGCGGUAAUACGGAGGAUGCGAGCGUUAUCCGGAUUCAUUGGGUUUAAAGGGUGCGCAGGCGGGCCUUUAAGCCGGCGGUGAAAUCGCGGGGCUAAACCCCGCCGAGCCGUCGGAACUGGGGGCCUUGAGGGCGGCGGAGGCAUGCGGAAUGCGCGGUGUAGCGGUGAAAUGCAUAGAUAUCGCGCAGAACCCCGAUUGCGAAGGCAGCGGGCCGUGCCGCCACUGACGCUGAGGCACGAAAGCGCGGGGAUCGAACAGGAUUAGAUACCCGGGUAGUC
rnacentral:rRNA from 1 species